GGUACCAAAUUUUCCAUUUAAGUUACUAAUAUUUUUGGUGGGAUUCGUACUAGUAUUUGUAGUGUGAUCUUCAUAAGAAGCCAAGAUUGUGAAGUUCAUGGUGGAAGAACUCCAUGACAUCAUGGAUAAAUACAACAUUCGUAAUAUGUCUGCUAUUGCUCGUGGAUCAUGGUGCUUCUGCCAGUCUCUUGGUAAGAGAUUAUAUCAGUCCUUACUGUGAACAAGAUGCACAGGUGCUUCCUUGAGCUUCAGGCUGAGGGUGAGGAGGCCCUUCCAGACUUUCUCCCGUGUCAAUGAAAGUGGCAAUGUCGUUGUGGCAACAUACAAAGAUAAGCUCUUUGAUGAUGUCCAAGUUAGGAAAAGGGAACUGUGCUUUUCCUGCUGGUCUGCACGGCUGGGCCUUGCCAAGAUGAAUGAAUCCAAGUUUGGAGUUGAUGAAGCUAAGAUGGAGAGGCUCUGGGGUGGGAACUACUUUGACACAGGCUCCGCUACCUGCAAGAGAGGAUUUUUUCAGUUCUGCUAUGAGCCUAUGAGCCAAUCAAGCGAAUUAUCAAACACUUGCAUGAAUAACCAGAAGGAUAAGUUGUGGUCCAAUGUUUCAAAAUCUUAAUGUUACUAUGAAAACAUGAGAAGGAACUGGCUUGGUGGCAAGACUUCAACGAAGUGUUAUGCAGACUUGCUUCCAGCUGGUGCUGCACUGCUUGAGGUGGAGAUAUUCCACCUUCCCCAGCCAAGGCACAGAAGCAUGGUGUGUAGAACUUUUACGAGGGACCCCUUUGGUGAUAUCUAUGCAACUGCUAUGAGGAUUCAGGAACUGUGAUGUGGCGGACCUCUUUUGCUGUAUGUUUCAGAGAUGAUUCCAGCAUCCAAUAAAGGAAGGUUCUUUGCCUUUGUUCAUGUCUUCUCAGGGAAGGUUGCUGCUGAUUUGAAGGUCAGGACCAUGGGUCCCAACUACCUGACACGUCCCUCCCUGGCCAGAAGAAGGAUCUGUAUGUUGAGUGUCCAGCGUACAGUUAUCUGGAUGGGAAAGAAACUAGUCAGUUGGGGAUGUUCCUUGUGGUAACACUGUUGCUAUGGUUAUGGUCUCGAAGAAUAUUACACUCACUCAUGAGGUUGAUGCAUGCCCAAUCAGAGCAAGGAAGCUCUGUCUCCCCUGCUGUGUGUGUUGAUGUUCGGUGCAAGGUUGCCUCUGACCUACCCAACCAAGCUAGUUGAAGGUUUGAAGCAUCUGGCAAAGUUUGAGAAAUAAGAUUCCUUCUAUUAUUUCUGCUCUUUUCAGAGUUUGAGACUAAGUCUUCUGCUGCGUCUUACCUGUGUGGCUGCCAUACUGGCAGACUAUGUGAAUUCAUACAUGCUUUCUCCUGUGCCAGGUGAAGGCACAAGGCAGAGAUUAUUUCAGUUGUGACAUUAUUUCUGAACCAGCAGAUGCUGUUUAAGUGCUUUAGCCUGUUGAAUUUCUUAACUUAAUCUCAGUAAACAAUUUCUCUA